rnacentral:rRNA from 1 species
UGCGUAGGCGGGUCUUUAAGUCAGGGGUGAAAUCCUGGAGCUCAACUCCAGAACUGCCUUUGAUACUGAAGAUCUUGAGUUCGGGAGAGGUGAGUGGAACUGCGAGUGUAGAGGUGAAAUUCGUAGAUAUUCGCAAGAACACCAGUGGCGAAGGCGGCUCACUGGCCCGAUACUGACGCUGAGGACAAAGACUGGGGAGCAAACA